UGGGGAAUUUUGGACAAUGGGGGCAACCCUGAUCCAGCAAUGCCGCGUGAGUGAUGAAGGCCUUAGGGUUGUAAAGCUCUUUUACCCGGGAUGAUAAUGACAGUACCGGGAGAAUAAGCUCCGGCUAACUCCGUGCCAGCAGCCGCGGUAAUACGGAGGGAGCUAGCGCUGUUCGGAAUUACUGGGCGUAAAGCGCACGUAGGCGGCUUUGUAAGUUAGAGGUGAAAGCCUGGAGCUCAACUCCAGAAUUGCCUUUGAUACUGCAUGGCUUGAAUCCAGGAGAGGUGAGUGGAAUUCCGAGUGUAGAGGUGAAAUUCGUAGAUAUUCGGAAGAACACCAGUGGCGAAGGCGACUUACUGGACGACUGUUGACGCUGAGGUGCGAAAGCGUGGGGAGCAAAC
rnacentral:rRNA from 1 species